GUAGUUCGAUACAUUUUGUGCGCAUGCGCGAAUGGUCUCGUUUUACGUAAAUUCGAAAAAUUUAAGUGUGUUGAAUUUUACUUAUUUUUUGCUUGCUUUCCAAGAGAAUCUUCAAUAAUCGGCGUCUUAAUGGAAAAGGUAGAAGGAAACUAUUCGUUGAGACUUUAAAUUUAAGUUUAUCGCGGGAUUUUUAACGACAUUCACCGGUUUCGUAAAGCGGUCGUUUGUUUUGGCGCAAUGCGGAAGUGUCGUCUUGAUGCAGUUUUUUGGCUAAAAAGUUGACGAAUUCUUCGUCUCACAAAGUCUGUCAUUUGUUUUACGUUUGCCAUCAGUUUUAGGCAGUAACUGUUAGCUGUCGAGAGUACCGGAACAGACUGUGAAGUAUUUCUAUAGAUCUAAAUAUGGUUCGUAAAAAAGGACAUUUUGUCUGGCAUUCGGAAUUCCUACACUAGUGAUCCAUGAGGACUUUAUCCAGUUUCCAGAAUGGCAGGAAGGAAGGACUUAUUGAAUUAGACCACUUGACAAGGCAGCUUACAAAAGUCAAAAGCUUGUCAACAUUUUCCGUAAAAUUUCCAAAAUAAAUACUGGAAAAAAAAACAACAUGGAAAUACAUACGACAUCAACACAAAAUAGCACAGCACCAGAAUGAAUGCGGAAGUUGUCAUGAGUGGUGUGGCAUUGUUCCUGUUCAUUUAUGGUUUACAGAUUCCAAAAGUCUGAACCAGAUAUGAGUAGAGUACAGUUUGAGAAAUGUCUUGGUAGAACAGAUACUAAGGAAAUAAUAAAGAGCAGAACAGACCACAUUUCUCCUUCUUAUAACUGGUAAAGUUCGAAGUAAGGGCGAGUACAAUAAUGCAGCCCCAGUGAGAGUUCGUGAUGAGGUGUCAGCUGUAAAUGUGUGGUCGUUAAAUGAUGUGCAGUCAGAUUGACAAGUAUUUGAAGUAACAUUAAUUUAUAAAUUAUCAAUUCUGAGAGAAAUUUUUGCUGAGCUUUGUGCAGGAUACUCUUAAAAAAUACGUGAACCAGAAUUUUAUAUUAUAAGUACAAUGUCAGAUGUACUCCAGACUUCACACAUAUGUUGAUGUUUAUACAUAUGUGGUGAUUAAUUUGUCAAGUGAAGAAAUUUUAUGAAUAAUGUUAGUGGGUGACAGAACAGAAGUACAAAGUCAAUUACAGAGGUCGACAACACUGAGUUUAGGA
rnacentral:lncRNA from 1 species